UGUUGUUCAUAUCAGAUUGGAAUCUACAACAGAUUCGGAUCAGAGAAAGGAUUGUCUCCACGAGUUUACUAUGACAAAUUAACAGACUUCUCAAGCGCCAACAAACACCUCAACUUAAUUAAGGCUCAGUACGACUUCGACCUUUGCGUGAAUUUAAUUUCUGUGGUUGGGUUUGGUCGAGGGAACUUAAGGCGGCGAGGAAGCCAGCUGGUGGCGCCCUACAUGUUCCCACCUUACGAGCAAGAUUAUCAAUUAUUCGUGUUCGAUUUCGAUUCCAUUCAGGCUACCCUAUCUUUUGACUGGUAUAAAAAUACAUUUAUCUGCGAUGAACACCAUUGGAUUUGCGACGAAUUUCCAAAUAUCAACACAUACCACGAGUUCAGACGAAGACUUAGAAGCACAAACCAAAUCCAGCG